rnacentral:lncRNA from 1 species
GGGUGCUCUCCUUCCUCUCAUAUAUCCUCUCGGGUACUCUCCUUCCUCUCAGAUAUUAGAGAAAGGGUCUUUCAACAGAAGAAAAAACCCAACCGGAAGCUCUGCUCGUACUCUCCUUCCUCUUAGAUCUCUGAGAAUGAGACUUUCAAUAAAAAAAAAGAAAAAACCAAUUGAAAGGUAAGAAAUGCCUCCGCUCUGUCUCAUGCUCUCCUUCAUCUCGAUAUCCAAGAAAGAGAAUGAAAUGAAAAGAAAAAGAACAGAAAAGAAAAGGAAUGAUCAAUCUAUGUGGGAAAAGGUUUUAUCUUUUAAUUUUUUCCAUGUUCCCUGUGUUUUUGUUGAUUUUCCCCUACCUUUUCCAUCCUCAGCAUAUCAAAAAUCCCCCAAACCUGCUUCUACCCAGAUUAAGUUCUCAAAAACUCAAGGGACCAAUUCAAACCGCCACAACUCGCACGAAAUCCAAAUUAAAACCCUAACUGGAACCUAAGAAACCCCUCCAUUCUCUCAGGUGCUCUCCUUCCCCUAAUAUCUCCAAA